CUCCUUCACUUCCUUGGUUAAGUUUAUCCCAAGGUAUUUUAUUCUUUUCGUUGUGAUUGUGAAUGGGAUUGAGUUCUUGAGUUCUUUUUCUGUUAGUUCAUUGUUAGUGUAUAGAAAUGCUACUGAUUUAUGCACGUUAAUUUUAUACCCUGCUACUUUGCUGUAGUUGUUGAUUAUUUCUAAUAGUUUUUCUGUGGAUUCUUUGGCGUUUUCUAUAUAUAAGAUCAUGUCGUCUGCAAACAACGAGAGUUUUACUUCUUCGUUACCUAUUUGGAUUCCUUUUAUUUCUUUUUCCUGCAGAAUUGCUCUGGCCAGCACCUCCAGUACUAUGUUGAAUAGGAGUGGUGAAAGUGGGCACCCUUGUCUUGUUCCUGUCCUCAGAGGGAUGGCUUUCAGCUUUUGUCCAUUGAGUAUGAUGUUGGCUGUGGGUCUAUCAUAUAUGGCCUUUAUUAUGUUGAGGUACUUUCCUUCUAUACCCAUUUUACUGAGGGUUUUUAUCAUAAAUGGGUGUUGGAUCUUGUCGAAUGCUUUCUCUGCAUCUAUUGAGAUGAUCAUGUGGUUUUUGUUUUUCAUUUUGUUGAUGUAGUGUAUCACGUUGAUUGACUUGCGGAUGUUAAACCAUCCCUGUGUCCCUGGUAUAAAUCCCACUUGAUCAUGGUGUAUAAUCUUUUUGAUGUAUUGCUGUAAUCGGUUUGCCAAAAUUUUGUUGAGGAUUUUUGCAUCUAUGUUCAUCAGUGAUAUCGGCCUGUAGUUCUCCUUCUUUAUGUUGUCCUUGUCAGGUUUGGGGAUCAGAGUGAUGUUGGCUUCAUAGAAUGUGUUAGGGAGUUCUCCAUCUUUCUCAAUUUUCUGGAACAGUUUGAGGAGAAUAGGUAUUAAGUCUUCUUUGAAUGUUUGGUAGAAUUCUCCAGAGAAGCCGUCUGGUCCUGGACUCUUGUUUUUGGGGAGGUUUUUGAUUACCGUUUCUAUUUCCUUACUUGUGAUUGGUCUAUUCAGAUUCUCCAUUUCUUCCUGAUUCAGUUUGGGGAGAUUGUAGGAGUCUAGGAAUUUGUCCAUUUCUUCCAGGUUGUUCAAUUUGUUGGCAUAUAGUUUUUCAUAGUAUUCUCUUAUGAUCUCUUGUAUUUCAUUGGUAUCUGUUGUGAUUUCUCCUCUGUCAUUCCUGAUUUUAUUAAUUUGCAAUUUCUCUCUUCUUUUCUUGGUGAGUCUGGCUAGGGGUUUGUCAAUUCUGUUAAUUCUUUCGAAGAACCAACUCUUUGUUUCAUUGAUCCUUUCUAUUGUCUUUUUUGUUUCAAUAUCGUUUAUUUCUGCUCUUAUUUUUAUUAUUUCCCUCCUUCUACUGACUCUGGGCUUUGUUUGUUCUUCUUUUUCUAGUUCUUUUAGGUGUCGUUUGAGGUUGCUUACGUGAGCUUUUUCUUGUUUAGUGAGGUGAGCCUGUAUUGCGAUGAAUUUCCCUCUUAGGACUGCUUUUGCUGCAUCCCAAAUGAUUUGGUAUGUCGUGUUCUCAUUUUCAUUUGUCUCCAGAUAAUAUUUGAUUUCUUCUUUAAUUUCUUCAAUGAUCCAUUGUUUGUUGAGAAGCGUGUUGUUUAGUCUCCACAUUUUUGCACCUUUCUCUGCUUUUUUCUUGUAGUUGAUUUCUAGUUUAAUAGCGUUAUGAUCAGAAAAGAUGCUUGAUAUUAUUUCAACUCUCUUGUAUUUAUUGAUGUUUGCUUUGGUUCCCAAAAUAUGGUCAAUCCUUGAGAAUGUUCCAUGUGCACUUGAGAAGAAUGUGUAACCUGCUGUUUUUGGAUGAAGUGUUCUAUAUAUAUCUAUUAAGUCCAUCUGGUCUAAUUUUUCAUUUAAUUCUAUUAUUUCCUUGUUGAUUUUCUGUCUGGAUGUUCUGUCCAUUGGUGUUAAUGGUGUGUUGAGGUCCCCUACUAUUAUUGUAUUGUUGUUGAUGUCUUCUUUUAGUUCUAUUAAGAGUUGCUUUACAAAUUUUGGUGCUCCUGUGUUGGGUGCGUAUAUAUUUAUAAGUGUUAUGUCUUCUUGGUGGAGAGUCCCUUUUAUCAUUAUAUACUGUCCCUCUUUAUCUUUCUUUAUCUGUUUUGCUUUGAAAUCUACCUUGUCUGAUAUUAGUAUAGCGACACCUGCUUUCUUUUGUUCAUUAUUAGCUUGGAGUAUUGUUCUCCAUCCCUUCACUCUGAGUCUGUGUUUGUCUUUGGGGCUGAGGUGUGUUUCCUGGAGGCAACAAAUUGUUGGAUCUUGUUCUUUAAUCCAUCUUGCCACUGUGUCUUUUUAUUGGAGAGUUCAAUCCGUUUACAUUGAGGGUGAUUAUUGAUGCGUGAAGGUUUAUGCUGUCAUUCUGUCACUCGUUUUCCGGUUUUCCUGCAUUUCCUUUGUUUCUCGUCCUGUGUGUUUUAGCCUACCCAUUGACAUCUGCAAAUUCUUAUGCUGGGUUUCUUAGCUUUUUCCUUAUUUAUGUUUUGUGUGUCUGUUCUGUUUUUUAGUUUAGUGGCUACCCUGAAUUUUGUGUUUAGAAUCUGGUGCAUAACAUAGUCCAUUGUCUGGUGGUCUCUUACUUCCUUAGCCUAAACUGAUUCAGUCCCUUUCCUCCACCCUCCUAAAUUAUUAUUUUCAUCUCUUAUUCCAACUUGUGUUUUGAGUUUGUGGUUAGAGUGAUAAGAUCGUCUUUACUUUGGUGAUUUUCCCUUCCCUUUAUCCUAAUGUUGUAGUUGAAUAUUUGCUAUCCUAUUCGGAUAUUAUCUGUCUCCCUACUCUGUGUUUUGUGAUCCCUUUCUCCCUUUUCUCUUUUCAGGUAUGAGGGCCUUCUUGAGGAUUUCUUGUGGGGGGGUCCUUUUGGCUACGAAGUCCCUUAUCUUUUGUUUGUCUGGAAAAGAUUUAAUUUCUCCCUCAUAUCUGAAGGAUAUUUUUGCUGGAUAGAGUAUUCUUAGCUGAAGAUUUUUAUCCUUUAAGAUUUUGAAUAUGUUAUUCCAAUCCCUCCUAGCUUGUAAGGUUUCUGUAGAGAAAUCCACUGAAAGUCUGAUGGGUCCCUUUGUAGGUUAUUUUCUUCUGCCUUGCUGCCCUGAGUAUUCUUUCUUUGUCAUUCAUUUUAGCUAUUUUUAAUACUAUAUGCCUUGCCAUAGGUUUUUUUACAUUGACGAAUCUAGGAGAUUUGAAAGAUUCCUCCACACACAUUUCUCUCUCAAUCCCUAGAUUUGGGAAGUUCUCUGCUAUUAUUUCAUUGAGCACACUUUCUGCUCCAUUUUCCUUUUCCACUCCCUCAGGAAUUCUGGUUAUUCUUAAGUUGCAUUUUCUCACUGAGCCAGUUAUUUCUCGGAGAUUUUCUUCAGUUUUUUUUUAUUCUUAGUUCUCUCUCUUCCUCUGUCUGGAGCCAUUCAACCUGUCUAUCUUCAAUUAUGCUAAUUUUCUCCUCUAUGUGGUCUACAUGGGCAUUCAGUGAAUCUGUAUUCUGUUUCAUCUGAUCCAUUGUAUUUUUCAUCUCUAGUAUUUCUGAUUGGUUCUUCUUUAUAGUUUCAAUCUCUUUUGUGAAGUAACUCUAGAAGUUGUUGACUUGCUUCUCUAUAUUUCCCUUUACCUCAUUGAGUUUUUUGAUGAUAGCUAUUCUGAAUUCAUUGCCACUUAGUUUACCUAUUUCCAAGUCCUCAGGGCAUACUACUGUGUUUUUAUUGUUUUCCUUCUGGUCUGGAGCUUUUAUAAAUUGCUGGAUGGUAGAGGAAUGAUUUUUACACAUAAUGCUAUUAUUUGGUUGC
rnacentral:lncRNA from 1 species